rnacentral:rRNA from 1 species
CAGGUCACUCCUACGGGAGGCAGCAGUGGGGAAUAUUGCACAAUGGGCGCAAGCCUGAUGCAGCGACGCAGCGUGAGGGACGAAGGCCUUCGGGUUGUAAACCUCUUUCGGCGGGGACGAUGAUGACGGUACCCGCAGAAUAAGCCCCGGCUAACUUCGUGCCAGCAGCCGCGGUAAUACGAAGGGGGCUAGCGUUGUUCGGAAUUACUGGGCGUAAAGGGCGCGUAGGCGGUCCUGAUCGUCGGAUGUGAAAGGCCUGGGCUCAACCUGGGAACUGCAUCCGAUACGGCGGGACUGGAGUGUGGGAGAGGUUGGUGGAAUUCCCAGUGUAGAGGUGAAAUUCGUAGAUAUUGGGAAGAACACCGGUGGCGAAGGCGGCCAACUGGACCACAACUGACGCUGAGGCGCGAAAGCGUGGGGAGCAAACAGGAUUAGAUACCCUGGUAGUCCACGCUGUAAACGAUGCGUGCUAGACGUUGGGCACCCUAGGUGUCCGGUGUCGUCGCUAACGCAUUAAGCACUCCGCCUGGGGAGUACGGUCGCAAGAUUAAAACUUAAAGGAAUUGACG